rnacentral:lncRNA from 1 species
AGCGGCCCGCGGCGGGGAAGCCCAGGGCGGCUCCCGGCCUCCGCCAGGGUCCGGGCGGCUGGCCGCACCUGCCGCGGGCCCCAUAGGAGAAAGCGGGGCGUGGUGGAGCACGCCUGUCACCCAAGCACUCUGGGAGACUGAGGCAGGAGGAUCGAAAGUUCAAGCCCAGCUUGGACGACUUAGCGACACCUUUUCCCAAAAAGCGAGUAAGAGGCUGGGGACGAGAGGCCCGGAGUUCAAACCCCCAAAGCAGGGGUGAGGGUUUGGGAGCAGGGUGGAAAGUGUGCCCCGUUCCCCCCACCGCAGGCCGGCUGUCGCAGCAGUCCUGCCUCUCAGCCCUCUCAGGCACUUGUGAUCCACCCUCCAGUCUCUUCUGCUUUAUCUCCCGUAUUACCUUCUCUGCUUAAGAAACCUGCAGAGACCCACGUUCUUCUAAAAGCUUCCUGCACCUGGUCCAUCUGAAGCUGUUGCUUUGUUUUGAGACAGGGUCUUGCUGUGUAGUUGAGGCUGGCCUUGAACUCGCGUCUAGCCCGGGCUGGCCUUGGACUCGCAGUGAUCCUUCUGCUUCAGCCUCCCAAGUGCUGGGAUCCCAGGUGUGCACCAGCAGGCCUGGCUUGCUUUUCUCUUUUAAGACCUAGCUCACAAGUCCCUCGCUUCCUCUUGCUCCUUACGUGCCAGUAGCCCUUUGCGCCUCAAUUUAAGCUGCUUUGCCUGGAAAGCUUUGCUCCUCGUCCCACUGUAUUGCGGUGUAGAAAGGCAUUUGCCGGGUAAGGGGAAGAAGGGGAAAGGCCCAGGCAAGGCCCCUGGGAAGAAGCAGAAGAAGCCCGAAGUGGACAUCCUGAGUCCGGCCGCCAUGCUGAACCUGUACUACAUCGCGCACAAUGCAGCCGACUGCCUCCAGCUGCGUGGCUUCCGGUGGCCCGGCGCGCCCAAGGGGAAGAAGGGCAGGAACAAGACCUAAGAGAAGAGAGAAGGAGAUAACCGGACAGCGAUGACUGCAGGCAAAAUAGACCUCACCGGAGACAUUUUGAAAUGCAGCUCAGUGUGCUUUUUGGUGGCUGCUGCGCUUGCUGCUGAGCUUCUGACAGCCUCCACACCGGGACCAGCUCAUCCUCUGCCCGUGGGUUCACCUGUGCUGCACAAACCAGCCAGUCUUACAUCCACUCCAUCCCUUCCAUCCUGCCCUGUGACGGGGACACUGUCUCCACGCCCCAACUCCCCAGCAGGUGACAGACAGGGACCAGCCCAGAAGCCAGAGCCCAUGAAAGUGCUCCAGCUACGCAAUCUAAGAUACUAGGCUCGUUGCCCUGCAAUUCUCUGCCCUUCCUACAAACACUACAAUGAAAGCCCUCUGUCUUCUGCCUCUAGCUGAUUUCCUGCAUGGUGUGGUGUGCCCUGUGCCCCUCCUAUUUGGAACUGUAAUAAAAUAAAUAAAUAACUUUUUCUUUUUUUUUUCUUUUUUUUUUUUUUUUUUUGCCUUUUUGAGACAGGGUCUCACUGUGCAGUUCAGGCUGGCCUUGAACUCAUUUUGUAGCCCAGA